rnacentral:rRNA from 1 species
CCUACGGGUGGCUGCAGUGGGGAAUAUUGCGCAAUGGGCGAAAGCCUGACGCAGCGACGCCGCGUGAGGGAUGAAGGUCUUCGGAUCGUAAACCUCUGUCAGCAGGGAAGAACGGUCACUGUGCUAAUCAGCAGUGAAUUGACGGUACCUGCAAAGGAAGCACCGGCUAACUCCGUGCCAGCAGCCGCGGUAAUACGGCGGGUGCGAGCGUUAAUCGGAAUUACUGGGCGUAAAGCGCUCGUAGGCGGGAUUUCAAGUCAAGGGUGAAAUCCCCGCGCUCAACGUGGGAACUGCCUUUGAAACUGGCAAACUGGAGUGUGUGAGAGGAUAGUGGAAUGCCAGGUGUAGGAGUGAAAUGCGUAGAUAUCUGGAGGAACAUCAGUGGCGAAGGCGACUAUCUGGCACAUAACUGACGCUGAGGAGCGAAAGCGUGGGUAGCAAACAGGAUUAGAUACCCGUGUAGUC